rnacentral:rRNA from 1 species
UGUUACUGACGCUAAAGCUCGAAAGUGCGGGUACCGAACAGGAUUAGAUACCCUGGUAGUCCGCACGGUAAACGAUGGAUGCCCGCUGUUUGCCCUUCGGGGUGAGUGGCUAAGCGAAAGCGUUAAGCAUCCCACCUGGGGAGUACGCCGGCAACGGUGAAACUCAAAGGAAUUGACGGGGGCCCGCACAAGCGGAGGAACAUGUGGUUUAAUUCGAUGAUACGCGAGGAACCUUACCCGGGCUUGAAUUGCAGAUGACGGAUCUAGAGAUAGUGACUUCCUUCGGGACAUCUGUGAAGGUGCUGCAUGGUUGUCGUCAGCUCGUGCCGUGAGGUGUCGGCUUAAGUGCCAUAACGAGCGCAACCCUUCUCUUCAGUUGCCAUCAGGUUAAGCUGGGCACUCUGGAGACACUGCCACCGUAAGGUGUGAGGAAGGUGGGGAUGACGUCAAAUCAGCACGGCCCUUACGUCCGGGGCUACACACGUGUUACAAUGGCCGGUACAGAAAGUCGGAUGCCCGUAAGGUCAUUCUAAUCAAGAAAGCCGGUCCCAGUUCGGACUGAGGUCUGCAACCCGACCUCACGAAGCUGGAUUCGCUAGUA